rnacentral:rRNA from 1 species
CCUACGGGUGGCAGCAGUCGAGAAUCAUUCACAAUGGGGGAAACCCUGAUGGUGCGACGCCGCGUGGGGGAAUGAAGGUCUUCGGAUUGUAAACCCCUGUCAUGUGGGAGCAAAUUAAAAAGAUAGUACCACAAGAGGAAGAGACGGCUAACUCUGUGCCUGCAGCCGCGGUAAUACAGAGGUCUCAAGCGUUGUUCGGAAUCACUGGGCGUAAGGCGUGCGUAGGCUGUUUCGUAAGUCGUGUGUGAAAGGCGCGGGCUCAACCCGCGGACGGCACAUGAUACUGCGAGACUAGAGUAAUGGAGGGGGAACCGGAAUUCUCGGUGUAGCAGUGAAAUGCGUAGAUAGCGAGAGGAACACUCGUGGCGAAGGCGGGUUCCUGGACAUUAACUGACGCUGAGGCACGAAGGCCAGGGGAGCGAAAGGGAUUAGAUACCCCAGUAGUC